UUUCUCUUCCGAUCUGGACAGGUUAUUCACAUUUAAUUUGAUGGUCAGAGGCAAAUUGAAAGCUAAGCAGUGGUAAUUAAGACCCCCGAGGGAAAAUAGGGAUGUCUCCUACGUUACCCAUAAUAUGUGGAAGUAUCGACGUAAUUUCAUAGAG